rnacentral:lncRNA from 1 species
AACAAGCCAAAGGAUACACUAUGUAUUCUAUUUGGAGCAAACUAAAAAAGAUUGAGCAGGAAACAGAACCAUUCAUCUGGAGCACUCAUCUAUAAAUAAGAAGCUGCAAUAGAUGAGAGAAGAUCUGAGGGUAAUUCAAGGAAAAUUGAAUGAAGAUUAUUCCAAUAAAACAGCGAUUGAAGAAGAAAAGAAACUGUUAGAGAACAUUGAAAAGUGGGAAGUAAUUCAAGAACAAAUAAUGAGACAGAAGUCACGAGCAAACUGGAUCCAACUGGGUGAUAGCAAUACAAAGUACUUCCAUACAUAUAUGAAAUCCAGACAAGCAAGAAACAGGGUGAGCAGUAUUCUUAAUGACAACCAGAUGAGGAUUACUGAUCCACAGCAGAUCCAGCAAGAGUCACUCAAUUCUUUCACCAGUUACUGGGCGCAACAGCAGAUCAGCUUCCCGGAAUAGACAUCAUUGUAGCUAGAGAUGGACCCUGUCUAUCAUUGCACCAACAACAACAAUUAUUAACUCCAGUAACAAGGGAAGAGAUCAGGCAUAUAGUACAUCACCUUCCUAAUGACAAGGCUCCUGGAAUAGAUGGUUACCCUGCAGAAUUCUUUAAAAAGUAUUGGCCAACUUUGGGAGAGGAGGUUAUAGAGGCAGUGCAUCAAUUCUUUCAAACUGGAAAAUUAUUGAAAGAGAUGAACUGCACAACUGCUACAUUGAUUCCGAAAGUGAAAAAUCCCAACUAUGUCAAGGAAUUUAGACCCAUUUCUUGCUGCUCAACACUGUACAAAGUUAUUGCAAAGAUCCUUACAAACAGACUCAAACUAGUUAUGGAUUAUUUGGUGGGCAUGCACAAUCAGCUUUCAUAGAAGGGAGAAACAUCCUAGACAAUGUUAUUAUGGCUCAUGAACUGAUAAGAGCUUACACCCAAAAGGCAGUAUCUCCCAUAUGCAUGAUCAAAGUGGAUAUUAGGAAGGCUUAUGACUCGGUUGAAUGGGGGUUUCCCAGGGCAGUGUUGCUGGAAUUUGGUGUACCUUACAAAAUGGUCACUUUAAUUAUGGAGGGUGUCUCAACAGCAAGCUUCUCUCUACUAAUCAAUGGAGGUCUCACCAGAAAGUUUGCAGCAAGAAAAGGAUGAAGACAGGGAGACCCAAUGUCUCCAUACCUGUUUGUCUUAGUCAUGGAAUACCUCAACAGAACAUUGAAGAAACUAAAGGCAGUAUCUCCCAGAUGCAUGAUCAAAGUGGACAUUAAGAAGGCUUAUGGCUCGGUUGAAUGGGGGUUUCUGAGGGCAGUGUUGCUGGAAUUUGGUGUACCUUACAAAAUGGUCACUUUAGUUAUGGAGUGUGUCUCCACAGCAAGCUUCUCUCUACUAAUCAAUGGAGGUCUCACCAGAAAGUUUGCAGGAAGAAAAGGAUGAAGACAGGGAGACCCAAUGUCUCCCUACCUGUUUGUCUUAGUCAUGGAAUACCUCAACAGAACAUUGAAGAAACUAAACAGGAACCCAGACUUCAACUUCCACCCCAAAUGAUCUAAGUUACAAAUCACUCAUAUAUGUUUUGCAGAUGACCUUUUGAUGUGAUGUAGAGGUGAUGAGAUCUCAAUGGAGUUACUGUUGAAAGAAUUUGAUAACUUUUCCCAGAUGUCUGGACUGCAAGCAAACUUGGAGAAAAGCUCUUUGUACAUAGCAGGCAUAUCACAGGAAGUCAAGAAGAAGUUACUGGCAGACUUUCAACUAACAGAAGGGAAAUUCCCCUUCAAAUACUUGGGAGUCCCCUUAUCAACAAAAAAGAUCACAAUCACACAAUGCUUACCUUUGGUUGAAAGGAUUGUGGACAGAAUUAGAUGCUGGUCAUCCAAUGUCUUAUCCUAUGCUGGAAGACUCCAACUGAUUAAGAGUGUUCUAUUUGAAAUGCAAACCUAUUGGGCCCAGGUCUUUCUCACUGGUUGGUAAGGAAAAGAUUUUGAGCAAGGAAUGGUGGACACAUGAUAGUGCAGCAACGCAAGCAUGCUGCCAGAAUGGAAGCUACAGCAUCAGGAAAGCAUAUAUACACUCUACUCCACAGUAUCCCAAAGUUCACUUGAAAAAAUUAGUGUUGGUGCCUGGACUACUACCAAAACAGAAGUUCAUAUUAUGGAUGACACUGCAUAGACGUUUGGCAAC